rnacentral:rRNA from 1 species
UGGGGAAUUUUGGACAAUGGGCGAAAGCCUGAUCCAGCAAUGCCGCGUGUGUGAAGAAGGCCUUCGGGUUGUAAAGCACUUUUGUCCGGAAAGAAAUCCUUGGCUCUAAUACAGUCGGGGGAUGACGGUACCGGAAGAAUAAGCACCGGCUAACUACGUGCCAGCAGCCGCGGUAAUACGUAGGGUGCAAGCGUUAAUCGGAAUUACUGGGCGUAAAGCGUGCGCAGGCGGUUUGCUAAGACCGAUGUGAAAUCCCCGGGCUCAACCUGGGAACUGCAUUGGUGACUGGCAGGCUAGAGUAUGGCAGAGGGGGGUAGAAUUCCACGUGUAGCAGUGAAAUGCGUAGAGAUGUGGAGGAAUACCGAUGGCGAAGGCAGCCCCCCUGGGGCCAAUACUGACGCUCAUGCACGAAAAGCGUGGGGGAGCAAAACAGGAUUAGAUACCCUGGUAGUCCACGCCCUAAAACGAUGUCAACUAGUUGUUGGGGAUUCAUUUCCUUAGUAACGUAGCUAACGCGUGAAGUUGACCGCCUGGGGAGUACGGUCGCAAGAUUAAAACUUAAAGGAAUUGACGGGGUCAUAGCUGUUUCCU